GAUUUUCGUGCAAUGAACAGGACCAACCCUGGCAUCAUUUACUUGGGACUGUGAGAGAGGCUAGCAGGCUGCUGUCCACUAGUAGCACAGCAGGAGUUUCAUUCGUACGCGCCGCAUGCAAAGCUGUCACGGCAGGAGAGGAAGAAAAAUCAAGGAGAGAAAAA